GCUCCGCUGACGACCGGCGCACGGGUGCGUAACGCGUAUACAAUCUGCCUUGCACUAAGGGAUAGCCCAGAGAAAUUUGGAUUAAUACCUUAUAGUUUAUUAGAAUGGCAUCAUUUUAAUAAUAAAGAUUACGGUGUAAGAUGAGUAUGCGUCCCAUUAGUUUGUUGGUAAGGUAACGGCUUACCAAGACUACGAUGGGUAGGGGCCCUGAGAGGGGGAUCCCCCACACUGGUACUGAGACACGGACCAGACUCCUACGGGAGGCAGCAGUGAGGAAUAUUGGACAAUGGGCGAGAGCCUGAUCCAGCCAUGCCGCGUGCAGGAAGACGGUCCUAUGGAUUGUAAACUGCUUUUAUACAGGAAGAAUAAGGACUACGUGUAGUCUGGUGACGGUACUGUAAGAAUAAGGACCGGCUAACUCCGUGCCAGCAGCCGCGGUAAUACGGAGGGUCCGAGCGUUAUCCGGAAUUAUUGGGUUUAAAGGGUCCGUAGGCGGGCUAUUAAGUCAGGGGUGAAAGUUUGCAGCUCAACUGUAGAAUUGCCUUUGAUACUGAUAGUCUUGAAUUAUUGUGAAGUGGUUAGAAUAUGUAGUGUAGCGGUGAAAUGCAUAGAUAUUACAUAGAAUACCGAUUGCGAAGGCAGAUCACUAACAAUACAUUGACGCUGAUGGACGAAAGCGUGGGUAGCGAACAGGAUUAGAUACCCUGGUAGUCCACGCCGUAAACGAUGGAUACUAGCUGUUCGGUUUUCGGACUGAGCGGCCAAGCGAAAGUGAUAAGUAUCCCACCUGGGGAGUACGUUCGCAAGAAUGAAACUCAAAGGAAUUGACGGGGGCCCGCACAAGCGGUGGAGCAUGUGGUUUAAUUCGAUGAUACGCGAGGAACCUUACCAGGGCUUAAAUGUAGAUUGACAGGUUUAGAGAUAGACUUUCCUUCGGGCAAUUUACAAGGU
rnacentral:rRNA from 1 species